rnacentral:piRNA from 1 species
UCUCAGGACCCACAUGAUGGAGAGAGAGGA